UUAGCCAUGCAUGUUUAAGAUAAGCAAUUUAUACUGUGAAACUGCGAAUGGCUCAUUAAAUCAGUUAUCGUUUAUUUGAUAGUACCUUACUACUUGGAUAACCGUGGUAAUUCUAGAGCUAAUACAUGCUAAAACCUCGACUUCGGAAGGGGUGUAUUUAUUAGAUAAAAAACCAAUGCCGUCUGGCUCCUUGGUGAUUCAUAAUAACUUAACGAAUCGCAUGGCCUUGUGCCGGCGAUGGUUCAUUCAAAUUUCUGCCCUAUCAACUUUCGAUGGUAGGAUAGUGGCCUACCAUGGUAUCAACGGGUAACGGGGAAUUAGGGUUCUAUUCCGGAGAGGGAGCUGAGAAACGGCUACCACAUCCAAGGAAGGCAGCAGGCGCGCAAAUUACCCAAUCCCGACACGGGGAGGUAGUGACAAUAAAUACUGAUACAGGGCUCUUUUGGGUCUUGUAAUUGGAAUGAGUACAAUUUAAAUCCCUUAACGAGGAACAAUUGGAGGGCAAGUCUGGUGCCAGCAGCCGCGGUAAUUCCAGCUCCAAUAGCGUAUAUUAAAGUUGUUGCAGUUAAAAAGCUCGUAGUUGAACCUUGGGCCUGGCUGGCCGGUCCGCCUCACCGCGUGCACUGGUCCGGCCGGGCCUUUCCUUCUGGGGAGCCGCAUGCCCUUCACUGGGUGUGUCGGGGAACCAGGACUUUUACUUUGAAAAAAUUAGAGUGUUCAAAGCAGGCCUAUGCUCGAAUACAUUAGCAUGGAAUAAUAGAAUAGGACGUGUGGUUCUAUUUUGUUGGUUUCUAGGACCGCCGUAAUGAUUAAUAGGGAUAGUCGGGGGCAUCAGUAUUCAAUUGUCAGAGGUGAAAUUCUUGGAUUUAUUGAAGACUAACUACUGCGAAAGCAUUUGCCAAGGAUGUUUUCAUUAAUCAGUGAACGAAAGUUAGGGGAUCGAAGACGAUCAGAUACCGUCGUAGUCUUAACCAUAAACUAUGCCGACUAGGGAUCGGGCGAUGUUAUCUUUUUGACUCGCUCGGCACCUUACGAGAAAUCAAAGUCUUGGGU
rnacentral:rRNA from 1 species